rnacentral:lncRNA from 1 species
UAAAUGUUGAACUCUUCAGCCUUGCCCCUCCUUUCUCCUAUGACCCACGUUUACGAAAGCCUAGCUGCUCCCUCCUUUGCUGUCAGCAGGGCAUUCAAACAUGAGCCUACAAUGCUGGCCCCGCCCUUAAUCACAACAAAACCAACCAGCUGCUCUCUCUGAUACCUGCUUGAGGGGCGUGUCCCGCUCUCCCCAGGGUCCUCAUUAUGUAAGCAGCAAAGCUUUCCAUACCUCUUCGUGUGUGAGCGACUGUGGUGGUCUCACUAUGCAGACAAGCUUUGCCGGGGAGUGGGGGGCGGUGCGUUACUUCCUGUUCCUCCAUAGUGCUCUGCAAGAAUUCCCUGAUAGAAGGAACCAUGGCUGUUUUGUUCAUAGCUGAAGGCCAAGGAGAGUUAUAACCCUGUUCCUGAGACUUAGAACAGUAUCUGGCCUAUGGUUUCUGAGGCCCUACUAUGUGUACAGCACAGUGGUGGACUCUUGAGGGACACGAAGAUGACUAAGACACAGUCGCAGCCUUUCAGCAGCUUCUAAUCCAUUAGGGGAUAUGAGGCAAGUGUACCGCGACCACCACACCAGGACUCAGGUGCAGAUUGCACACCUGAAGGGAAGUGAGGUUGGAGCUGCAAGAGGUGUCACUGUCGGUGAGCAAAGCUAGAAGAGUUUGCCACUUGACAGAAAGAGAAUUUUAGGUGGGUCUUCCAGGACAUGGUGGAUUUUGAACCAUGGGUAUUAGGAAGGGGGCUCGUCUGGUGACGGAGUUUUUACAGUAAAGCCAGGAAGUCACACCCCUGGAGCUCUCCUUCGGUAACAGCUAGUUUCCAAUUUGCCUAUCAUGCAUGCUCUGUAAUGGAGGGCAUGGGAAGAUCAUGCAGUUUGAAAGCCCCAAAUACAAGAAUGUGAAAAUAUAAUAUAUUUGAUAGAAAACUUUUGUGCAGGGUGUGGCCCCUGAAGAUGUUUCAGUAGGAAAGCUCCAUAAUUUAAGGCUUGUUCAGGAAAAUUGAAGCUGAGGACUCAGCACAGUGUUGGAGGACUCUGGAGUUUUGAAAGCCAGGUAGAGGGCCACUUAAUCAAAGCUAUGAGCACGAUUAAGUACAAUUAGCAUUCUGUUUUCUGGGCAGUUGUCUGGUUAUUCACCUGCCUAGCUCAUGUUUUAAAAUUCUAUCAUUUGAAUUUGUGAUUCUUCAGCAAAUGGAACAAGAUGGUAUUUGAACCUUUGGACUUGAGAAUAUGGCUCAGUGGCUGCAAUCCUUGUAAAUAGGCUUAUGCUCUUAUAUAUGAUGCGUCACUUGUCCUUGCACUUGAUAUUCAUUGGGAUUAAUUUUAACAAGAGCUGAGGUAUUAUCACCAUAUCAAUAGUAAGACAUUUUAAGUCAAAUUGAGCAGACAUGAUAAUGAAGCCUGCAGAGCCAGUAAACUUGUUCUUUUGUUCUUUUGUUCUGUUUUGUGUCACUUUCCUGAUAAUAUUUCAGUUAUAUUCGAUUCUAAUUCUCACUUAAUCAGUAAUUUAGCUGGUUACUCAGACAAAAAUGAAAUUCUCCUAAAGCUUCUGAGCAAUUUCUGAUACUCCAAUUAUAAAUUUUUGCUUCAAGAGGAAAUCAAAACUUCAUAUUUGGUAUGAUAAUAAUUUUCUAAAAUUGAGGAUACUAGUUGUUUGUUAAGUAGACUUUACAAAUCUGAUUAGAAUAACAAUAUCUGUACUGAGAAAAUAUAGAGGAAAACAUGUUUUCACUUUAUAUUCUUUUACUCCAUUUUCUCACAGAUAAAUUACAAUGAAAGCUAAAAGAACACAGAUUCAAGUCUGAGAUACUAGCUUCUGUGAUCUAGUAAGAAUAUACCUAUUAGUCUGAUUAUUUUUAAUAAUCCAGUGUGUUUUGGAUGACAACAAAGGCAGGCACUGUUACAACCCAAGCAAGUGCUUGUGAAGAACAACGUGUGUGUUGCUGCCAGGUUAGGCCAGUGCUCACAACCAAAAGGGUGACGUGACAUAACAUGAAGUAUAUAAUGAAGCAUACAUUUGCUGUACAUUUCUAGCAAAUUACCAUGUAUUUCCACGUGACAUUCACAAGCCUGGAUCUAAUAAUUUCUUCCGCUAAGGGUAGCAAUGAUGUAGUGAAGAGACUUUGAAUUAGAAGCAGAUGAUCAAUGUUCAAGUUAACCUUAAUGAAUGGUGGUACACAUAGCAUUGGUGUCACCAGAUCCACACAUCUUAACCUAACAUAAGUGACCCACUCUUUGAUACAGUCAGAUAAGUGAGGGGGAAAAAGAAAAUCCUUACCUAAGUGUCAAACAUCAGUUAAUCAAAUCCUAGAACUACUGUGUACAAAGCACAGAAUAUGAGCAAUUGCCUAGUUUGGCAACAAAAUAUAAAAUAAUGCUGAUAAAAUACCCAACUCAUAAUCCUACUGUGAAUGCUAAAUUAAAUUACAUUGAUGACACAUAGAAAGAUACUUACAUAGGCCUAGGACACGAUAAGUACUCAAAAACACUUUUUCCCCCAAACAAAAUAUUCUGAUGAAGUAGCCAAUAUUAGAGUCGUUAGAUUUCAGAAGAUUUUGUUGUCAAUAUUUGUGUAAUACCAUGAGAGCAUUAAAGGUUGAGAGGCCAUUCCAGUUGAAGACUCAAAUGUUUAAUUUUUUUUUUUUUCUGAGAUGGAGACUCACACCUUUGCCCAGGCUGGAGUGCAGUGGCGGGAUCUCAGCUCACUUCAAGCUUCACCUCCCG